rfam:Firmicutes bacterium CAG:129_59_24 Ley3_66761_scaffold_2503, whole genome shotgun sequence.
AGCAAUGUUUGGCAAACCUGCUGAAAAGCAGGGACGCAAAGCCAGAGGGGUCUAAGGCCGCCGCGCGCGGUUAUGACAGCCGGUUGCAAAU